rnacentral:rRNA from 1 species
GACGAGGGGUCCAAGCGUUGUUCGGAAUCAUUGGGCGUAAAGCGGGUGUAGGCGGCUCUAUAAGUCAGGAGUGAAAUCCCCGAGCUUAACUUGGGAAGUGCUUUUGAUACUGCAGAGCUUGAAUGUGGGAGAGGUUAGUGGAAUUCCAAGUGUAGUGGUGAAAUACGUAGAUAUUUGGAGGAACACCGGUGGCGAAGGCGGCUAACUGGCCCAACAUUGACGCUGAGACCCGAAAGCAUGGGGAUCAAACAGG